rnacentral:rRNA from 2 species
UAGGUCGGGAACUCAAAGGAGACUGCCAGUGAUAAACUGGAGGAAGGUGGGGAUGACGUCAAGUCAUCAUGGCCCUUACGACCAGGGCUACACACGUGCUACAAUGGCGCAUACAAAGAGAAGCGACCUCGCGAGAGCAAGCGGACCUCAUAAAGUGCGUCGUAGUCCGGAUUGGAGUCUGCAACUCGACUCCAUGAAGUCGGAAUCGCUAGUAAUCGUGGAUCAGAAUGCCACGGUGAAUACGUUCCCGGGCCUUGUACACACCGCCCGUCACACCAUGGGAGUGGGUUGCAAAAGAAGUAGGUAGCUUAACCUUCGGGAGGGCGCUUACCACUUUGUGAUUCAUGACUGGGGUGAAGUCGUAACAAGGUAACCGUAGGGGAACCUGCGGUUGGAUCACCUCCUUACCUUAAAGAAGC